rnacentral:rRNA from 1 species
UGGGGAAUUUUGGACAAUGGGGGAAACCCUGAUCCAGCCAUCCCGCGUGUGCGAUGAAGGCCUUCGGGUUGUAAAGCACUUUUGGCAGGAAAGAAACGUCGCGGGUUAAUACCCCGCGAAACUGACGGUACCUGCAGAAUAAGCACCGGCUAACUACGUGCCAGCAGCCGCGGUAAUACGUAGGGUGCAAGCGUUAAUCGGAAUUACUGGGCGUAAAGCGUGCGCAGGCGGUUCGGAAAGAAAGAUGUGAAAUCCCAGAGCUUAACUUUGGAAACUGCAUUUUUAAACUACCGGGCUAGAGUGUGUCAGAGGGAGGUGGAAUUCCGCGUGUAGCAGUGAAAUGCGUAGAUAUGCGGAGGAACACCGAUGGCGAAGGCAGCCUCCUGGGAUAACACUGACGCUCAUGCACGAAAGCGUGGGGAGCAAAACAGGAUUAGAUACCCUGGUAGUCCACGCCCUAAAACGAUGUCAACUAGCUGUUGGGGCCUUCGGGCCUUGGUAGCGCAGCUAACGCGUGAAGUUGACCGCCUGGGGAGUACGGUCGCAAGAUU